rnacentral:rRNA from 1 species
GAUGAACGCUGGCGGCGUGCCUAAUACAUGCAAGUCGAGCGAACAGACGAGGAGCUUGCUCCUCUGACGUUAGCGGCGGACGGGUGAGUAACACGUGGAUAACCUACCUAUAAGACUGGGAUAACUUCGGGAAACCGGAUCUAAUACCGGAUAAUAUAUUGAACCGCAUGGUUCAAUAGUGAAAGACGGUUUUGCUGUCACUUAUAGAUGGAUCCGCGCCGCAUUAGCUAGUUGGUAAGGUAACGGCUUACCAAGGCGACGAUGCGUAGCCGACCUGAGAGGGGGAUAGGCCACACUGGAACUGGGACGCCGACCAGGGGACUGAGGGAGGGAGCAGUAGGGAACGUUACGCAAUGGGCGGAAACCUUGCGGAGCAACGCCGAGUGAGUGAUGAAGGUCUUGGGAGCGUAAAGCUCUGUUAUUAGGGAAAAACAAAUGUGUAAGUAACUAUGCACGUCUUGACGGUACCUAAUCAGAAAGCCACGGCUAACUACGUG